CGCGGCCUAUCAGCUUGUUGGUGGGGUGAUGGCCUACCAAGGCGGUGACGGGUAGCCGGCCUGAGAGGGCGACCGGCCACACUGGGACUGGGACACGGCCCAGACUCCUACGGGAGGCAGCAGUGGGGAAUAUUGCGCAAUGGGCGGAAGCCUGACGCAGCGACGCCGCGUGGGGGAUGACGGCCUUCGGGUUGUAAACCUCUUUCGCCAGGGACGAAGAGCAAUUGACGGUACCUGGAGAAGAAGCACCGGCCAACUACGUGCCAGCAGCCGCGGUACACGUAGAGUGCGAGCGUUGUCCGGAAUUAUUGGGCGUAAAGAGCUCGUAGGCGGUUUGUCGCGUCUGCUGUGAAAUCCCGAGGCUCAACCUCGGGACUGCAGUGGGUACGGGCAAACUAGAGUGUGGUAGGGGAAACUGGAAUUCCUGGUGUAGCGGUGGAAUGCGCAGAUAUCAGGAGGAACACCGAUGGCGAAGGCAGGUUUCUGGGCCACAACUGACGCUGAGGAACGAAAGCAUGGGGAGCGAACAGGAUUAGAUACCCUGGUAGUCCAUGCCGUAAACGUUGGGCACUAGAUGUGGGGGACAUUCCACGUUUUCCGCGCCGUAGCUAACGCAUUAAGUGCCCCGCCUGGGGAGUACGG
rnacentral:rRNA from 1 species